UACGUAGGGUGCGAGCGUUGUCCGGAAUUAUUGGGCGUAAAGAGCUCGUAGGCGGUCUGUCGCGUCGGUCGUGAAAACUUGGGGCUUAACCCUGAGCUUGCGGUCGAUACGGGCAUGACUGGAGUUCGGCAGGGGAGACUGGAAUUCCUGGUGUAGCGGUGAAAUGCGUAGAGAUCGGGAGGAACACCUGUGGCGAAAGCGGCUCACUGGACCAUUACUGACGCUGAUGCACGAAAGCUAGGGGAGCAAACAGG
rnacentral:rRNA from 1 species